CAUGCAAGUCGAACGGAAAGGCCUCUUCGGGGGUGCUCGAGUGGCGAACGGGUGAGUAACACGUGGGUGAUCUGCCCUGCACUUUGGGAUAAGCCUGGGAAACUGGGUCUAAUACCGGAUAGGACUACGAAUCGCAUGGUUUGUGGUGGAAAGCUUUUGCGGUGUGGGAUGGGCCCGCGGCCUAUCAGCUUGUUGGUGGGGUGAUGGCCUACCAAGGCGACGACGGGUAGCCGGCCUGAGAGGGUGCCCGGCCACACUGGGACUGAGAUACGGCCCAGACUCCUACGGGAGGCAGCAGUGGGGAAUAUUGCACAGUGGGCGCAAGCCUGAUGCAGCGACGCCGCGUGAGGGAUGACGGCCUUCGGGUUGUAAACCUCUUUCAGCAUCGACGAAGCGGAAGUGACGGUAGAUGCAGAAGAAGCACCGGCCAACUACGUGCCAGCAGCCGCGGUAAUACGUAGGGUGCGAGCGUUGUCCGGAAUUACUGGGCGUAAAGAGCUCGUAGGUGGUUUGUCGCGUUGUUCGUGAAAACUCACA
rnacentral:rRNA from 1 species